rnacentral:rRNA from 1 species
AACCUGCCCAAGAGAUCGGGAUAACGCCUGGAAACAGAUGCUAAUACCGGAUAACAACAGAUGAUGCCUAUCAACUGUUUAAAAGAUGGUUCUGCUAUCACUCUUGGAUGGACCUGCGGUGCAUUAGCUAGUUGGUAGGGUAACGGCCUACCAAGGCGAUGAUGCAUAGCCGAGUUGAGAGACUGAUCGGCCACAUUGGGACUGAGACACGGCCCAAACUCCUACGGGAGGCAGCAGCC